rnacentral:rRNA from 1 species
CCUACGGGGCGCAGCAGUAGGGAAUCUUCCACAAUGGGCGAAAGCCUGAUGGAGCAACGCCGCGUGGGUGAAGAAGGUCUUCGGAUCGUAAAACCCUGUUGUUAGAGAAGAAAGUGCGUGAGAGUAACUGUUCACGUUUCGACGGUAUCUAACCAGAAAGCUACGGCUAACUACGUGCCAGCAGCCGCGGUAAUACGUAGGUGGCAAGCGUUAUCCGGAUUUAUUGGGCGUAAAGGGAACGCAGGCGGUCUUUUAAGUCUGAUGUGAAAGCCUUCGGCUUAACCGGAGUAGUGCAUUGGAAACUGGGAGACUGGAGUGCAGAAGAGGAGAGUGGAACUCGAUGUGUAGCGGUGAAAUGCGUAGAUAUAUGGAAGAACACCAGUGGCGAAAGCGGCUCUCUGGUCUGUAACUGACGCUGAGGUUCGAAAGCGUGGGUAGCAAACAGGAUUAGAUACCCCAGUAGUC